rnacentral:rRNA from 1 species
AGAACGCUCGUAGUCGGAUUUCGGGGCGGUCCGACCGGUCUGCCGAUGGGUACGCACUGGUCGGAGCGUCCUUUUCGCCGGAGACCGUGCCUACUCUUAACUGAGCGGGGGCGGGAGACGGCACUUUUACUUUGAAAAAAUCAGAGUGUUUCAAGCAUGCAGCUCGCUCUUGCAUGGAUUAGCAUGGGAUAAUGAAAUAGGACUUUGGUGCUAUUUUGUUGGUUUCGAACACCGAAGUAAUGAUGAGAAGGGACAGUCAGGGGCACUCGUAUUCCGCCGAGAGAGGUGAAAUUCUCAGACCAGCGGAAGACGAACCACUGCGAAAGCAUUUGCCAGGGAUGUUUUCACUGAUCAAGAACGAAAGUUAGGGGAUCGAAGACGAUCAGAUACCGUCGUAGUCUUAACCAUAAACAAUGCCGACUAGGGAUUGGAGGAUGUUCACUGAUUGACUCCUUCAGCACCUUACGGGAAACUAAAGUCUUUGGGUUCCGGGGGGAGUAUGGUCGCAAGGCUGAAACUUAAGGGAAUUGACGGAAGGGCACCACCAGGUGUGGAGCCUGCGGGCUUAAUUUGACUCAACACGGGGGAAACUUACCA